UACGUAGGGGGCUAGCGUUGUCCGGAAUCAUUGGGCGUAAAGCGCGUGUAGGCGGUUCGGUAAGUCCGCUGUGAAAGUCGGGGGCUCAACCCUCGGAUGCCGGUGGAUACUGUCGGACUAGAGUACGGAAGAGGCGAGUGGAAUUCCUGGUGUAGCGGUGAAAUGCGCAGAUAUCAGGAGGAACACCGAUUGCGAAGGCAGCUCGCUGGGACGUAACUGACGCUGAGACGCGUAAGCGUGGGGAGCAAACAGG
rnacentral:rRNA from 1 species